CACCUAGUAGGAUACUCAUUACUUUGUGUGACAGGUUUCCCCAAUGUCAUUGGUGCAGUGGACUGCACACACAUAAGGAUAAAAGCCCCCUCAGGUGCCCAUGAGGCCGAUUUUGUGAAUAGGAAAUCCUUUCACAGCAUUAAUGUUCAGAUGGUCUGCAAUGCUGACUGUGUGAUCAGCAAUGUUGUGGCAAAAUGGCCUGGCUCAGUCCAUGACUCCAGAAUCUUUCGGGCCUCUGAAAUCUAUCAGUGCCUAUCACAAGGUGAAUUCUCUGGUGUGUUGCUGGGAGACAGGGGGUAUGGCUGCCAGCCUUUUCUCCUGACACCUUUCACAGACCCCCAGGAAGCACAGCAGGCCUUCAACCAUGCCCAUGCCAGGGCCAGAGUUGAAAUGACCUUUGGCCUCCUGAAGGCACGCUUUCACUGCCUUCACAAAUUAAGGGUCAGCCCUGUUAGGGCAUGUGAUAUUACUGUGGCUUGUGCUGUCCUCCAUAAUGUGGCCUGCCUGAGGAAGGAGAGGGCCCCCAGAGUGCCACCAGCCAUGGACUGGGACAAUCCGGCAGUCUUCCCUGAUGACGACAGUGGUCGGCUGCUGAGGGACCAAUAUGUGUUGAAUUAUUUUAGUUAGUAUGUGUGCUUUCAAUUUUGGUUAAAUAUGUCCUGCGGUGGCA